rnacentral:tRNA from 1 species
GUUUCCGUAGUGUAGUGGUUAUUACGUUCGCCUAACACGCGAAAGGUCCCCUGUUCGAAAUCGGGCGGAAACA